CACGUAGGGGGCGAGCGUUGUCCGGAUUUAUUGGGCGUAAAGAGCUCGUAGGCGGCUCAGUAAGUCAGGUGUGAAAACUCGAGGCUCAACCUCGAGCCUGCAUUCGAUACUGGGCGGCUAGAGUCUGGUAGGGGGAUCUGGAAUUCCAGGGUGUAGCGGUGAAAUGCGUAGAUAUCUGGAGGAACACCGGUGGCGAAGGCGGCAUCCUGGACCGGCAGUUGACG
rnacentral:rRNA from 1 species